AGAGCGAACGCUGGCGGCAGGCUUAACACAUGCAAGUCGAGCGCCCUCUUCGGAGGGAGCGGCGGACGGGUGAGUAACACGUGGGAACGUGCCCUUCGGUUCGGAAUAACUCAGGGAAACUUGAGCUAACACCGGAUACGCCCUUCGGGGGAAAGGUUACGCCGAUGGAGCGGCCCGCGUUGGAUUAGCUAGUUGGUGAGGUAAAGGCUCACCAAGGCUACGAUCCAUAGCUGGUCUGAGAGGAUGAUCAGCCACACUGGGACUGAGACACGGCCCAGACUCCUACGGGAGGCAGCAGUGGGGAAUCUUGGGCAAUGGGCGCAAGCCUGACCCAGCCACGCCGCGUGAGUGAUGAAGGCCUUCGGGUCGUAAAGCUCGUGUGGGAGGGAAGAAAGCCAUGGAUUAAUACCCUGUGGGAUUGACGGUACCUCCUUAGCAAGCACCGGCUAACCACGUGCCAGCAGCCGC
rnacentral:rRNA from 1 species